rnacentral:rRNA from 1 species
AUUGAACGCUGGCGGCAGGCUUAACACAUGCAAGUCGAGCGGGGGAAGGUAGCUUGCUACCGGACCUAGCGGCGGACGGGUGAGUAAUGCUUAGGAAUCUGCCUAUUAGUGGGGGACAACAUCUCGAAAGGGAUGCUAAUACCGCAUACGUCCUACGGGAGAAAGCAGGGGAUCUUCGGACCUUGCGCUAAUAGAUGAGCCUAAGUCGGAUUAGCUAGUUGGUGGGGUAAAGGCCUACCUAGGCGACGAUCACUAGCUGGCCUGAGAGGAUGACCAGCCACAGUGGGACUGAGACACGGUCCAGACUCGUACGGGAGGCAGCAGUGGGGAAUAUUGCACAAUGGGCGCAAGCCUGAUGCAGCCAGGCCGCGUGUAUGAAGAAGGCCUUCGGGUUGUAAAGUACUUUCGGCGGGGAGGAAGGCGAUGUGGUUAAUAACCGCGUCGAUUGACGUUACCCGCAGAAGAAGCACCGGCUAACUCCGUGCCAGCCGCCGCAGUAA